UGAGUAACGCGUGGGAAUCUACCCNUCUCUACCGAAUAACGCAUGGAAACGUGUGCUAAUACCGUAUACGUCCUUUUGGAGAAAGAUUUAUCGGAGAUGGAUGANCCCGCGUUGGAUUANCUAGUUGGAGGGGUAAAGGCCUACCAAGGCGACGAUCCAUAGCUGGUCUGAGAGGAUGAUCAGCCACACUGGGACUGANACACGGGCCAGACUCCUACGGGAGGGAGCAGUGGGGAAUAUUGGACAAUGGGCGCAAGCCUGAUCCAGCCAUGCCGCGUGUGUGAUGAAGGCCCUAGGGUUGUAAAGCACUUUCACCGGAGAAGAUAAUGACGGUAUCCGGAGAAGAAGCCCCGGCUAACUUCGUGCCAGCAGCCGCGGUAAUACGAAGGGGGCUAGCGUUGUUCGGAUUUACUGGGCGUAAAGCGCACGUAGGCGGACUAUUAAGUCAGGGGUGAAAUCCCGGGGCUCAACCCCGGAACUGCCUUUGAUACUGGUAGUCUUGAGUUCGAGAGAGGUGAGUGGAAUUCCGAGUGUANAGGUGAAAUUCGUAGAUAUUCNGAGGAACACCAGUGGCGAANGCGGCUCACUGGCUCGAUACUGACGCUGANGUGCNAAAGCGUGNGGAGCAAACAGGAUUAGAUACCCUGGUAGUCCACGCCGUNNNCUAUGAGAGCUAGCCGUCGGGNAGUAUACUGUUCG
rnacentral:rRNA from 1 species